rnacentral:rRNA from 1 species
UCGUGGAUUGAUCUGUCUGCUUCAUUGCGAUAACGAACGAGACCUCAGUUUACUUAAUAGUCCUGCUAACAAGAGAACGCCUUGUCUUUGGUCGCCUACGGUGGCCUUCUACGAGAGUUCUCAUUAUCGUUGGUUGAUUACGACUUCUCAGAGAGACUACUGGACACAUAAUCCAGGGGAAGUCUGAGGCAAAAACA